AUAAUUUUUAUUCUUAAAAUUAAAAAAAUAAAAAAAGAAACCCCCAAACCCUUACCCAACUCUUUCAUUCCUCUCAAUCCUUUCUCUUUCAUCUCUUUCACUCAGACUUUUUCUCUGUCAUCCCUACGCUAGCCCCAAUUGAAAAAAAUCAGAAACAUUUGCCUUAUUUUAAUAAUUUUCAUUCUCAAAACUAAAAAAAAUAAACCAAACCCUUACUCACUUCCUUCAUUCCUCUCAACCCUUUCACUCAAACAUUUUCUCUAUCAUCUCUGCACUAG
rnacentral:lncRNA from 1 species